UACGUAGGGUGCGAGCGUUGUUCGGAAUUACUGGGCGUAAAGGGUUCGUAGGCGGGAAGAUAAGUUAUGUGUGAAAUCCCCGAGCUUAACUCGGGACGUGCACGUAAAACUGUUUUUCUUGAGUGUUGGAGAGGGUAGUGGAAUUGCUGGUGUAGGAGUGACAUCCGUAGAGAUCAGCAGGAACAUCAGAGGCGAAAGCGACUGCCUGGCCAAACACUGACGCUGAGGAACGAAAGCGUGGGGAGCAAACAGG
rnacentral:rRNA from 1 species